rnacentral:lncRNA from 1 species
UGGUAUUAAAGUUCCUCUGAAUUACAAUUCAAUACACUCGGACUUUGAAUUUCUAAUAGUUUCGUUUAUCCAACAGGAUAUAAUAUGUGGAAUGGACUUUUGGAAAAGGUUUGGCAUUUCUAUCGUUAAAUCAUCAUCAUGGACAGUAAGCGAGUUAUCCUUUCAAUCCGAGCACGAGUUGCUCAAGUUAGCCAUGUCGAUUUCUCAAAAGAAGCAGUUACAGC